GACGAACGCUGGCGGCGUGCUUAACACAUGCAAGUCGAACGGAAAGGCCCUGCUUUUGUGGGGUGCUCGAGUGGCGAACGGGUGAGUAACACGUGAGUAACCUGCCCUUGACUUUGGGAUAACUUCAGGAAACUGGGGCUAAUACCGGAUAGGAGCUCCUGCUGCAUGGUGGGGGUUGGAAAGUUUCGGCGGUUGGGGAUGGACUCGCGGCUUAUCAGCUUGUUGGUGGGGUUGUGGCUUACCAAGGCUUUGACGGGUAGCCGGCCUGAGAGGGUGACCGGCCACAUUGGGCCUGAGAUACGGCCCAGACUCCUACGGGAGGCAGCAGUGGGGAAUAUUGCACAAUGGGCGGAAGCCUGAUGCAGCAACGCCGCGUGCGGGAUGACGGCCUUAGGGUUGUAAACCGCUUUCGCCUGUGACGAAGCGUGAGUGACGGUAAUGGGUAAAGAAGCACCGGCUAACUACGUG
rnacentral:rRNA from 1 species